UGUCCUGGGGGCAUCAAACACAGAGCACAGCCGGGCAGAGCGGGGAUCAUCCCCUGUGCUCAGCGCCGGUCCCGCCUCACCCGGAGUGCUGGGAACAGCUCUGGGCACCAUGAUGUAAAUGGGACGGGAAGGAGGAAGAAUGCAUCCAGAGGAGGGCAAUAAAACUGGGAAUGGUUCAAAGCAGCACAAGGGAAGGCUCGCAUUUGACUAUGUGAAGCACAUCUUUAUUGAGAGGGUGGUCCGACACUGGAACCCGCAGACUUCCUGGUCACAUCUUGCCACAGUGAUGCAUGAACUUGUCACCUCAAAACUGGACUGCUGCGACCUACAUGGAGUGAUGCUGUGCAGGCCCUGCAGCUGGCACAGAAUGCUGAGGCUCGUUUAUGAGGAGACACGGUGCCACUUCAGCAGAAUGGGCUCAUGUUUCAACGGCCUGUACUGCUUCAUAUUGGAUUGCUUCCUGAUUGCUGAGAGGAUAGAAUAACAUCUGGAGGGACAGAAGUUGCCAUUUUGAAGUUCUGCUACAAAAAAAGAGAUGGCUUUAAAGCAAAGCAGAAAAUAAGAAAAGAUCAACUGAAGUAUUUUGGAAACUAAUUUAAAAUUACAUAUCAACAAAAACUAUGAAAUAAAUUGUAAGUGCUGUAAGUCAAACUUCUAUUUUCUUGAGAAAAUUUAAGAGAGGAUAUCUUCAACACUUUCCCAUCUCUGGCAUCUCUCUCAUUGUUUCUGAAGCAAGGUGGUUCAAAAUACCCAUCACACAGGAAGCACAAGCAGUAUGUGUUCACAGCUACUAAAAUUCAACUGCUGAUCAGUUUUAACUGCAUGAUACAGCUAUAGAGGCACAAAGAAAGUUAGGAAGUUAAAACCUCGAUUUUAAAGUUUUAGAAAACACCUGAAAGAAUUAAAGCAAAUUAAUUGCUAAAAUAAACGUCAUAAUAUAGGCAGCUAACAAAACUCCUUUCUUCGGGUAAAGAAGAAUGCAAGCUGUUCUCCUAAAGAAGGUUUUUUGAAAGAACUGAAGAGUUUCAGCUGCCCUCUAGUGUUAAAAUGAAUGCAUGGGUAAGCCAAGAGAGAGGCUGAAAAGAUGCUUGAGUUAAGAAAUUACUCACUAUGGUUUAUUUUUAACCACUCUAAAACUAAAAAUUAAAAAGUAAAUUUUAAAAUAGCACGGGGAGAAUUUUUUCUUUAAAAUUAAGGUAUUCAAACCUUUCCUGUAACAUGCAAUUCUGCCCCACAGCAACUAACCACAUGAAAUUAUGGGAGAUCUUUUACUCAGCUUCAGCCCUAUAUUUCAGCCUAAAGAAAAGUUCUGCUUGAUGAUAAAAAACCUAAAUGAUUAGAAUUUUAAGAGAAAAGGAUCAUCAUCUAUUUUCAUAACCCAAGUUGUAAGAUAAGCAAAUAUUAAAAUUAAAGAAAUACUGGGUUUUGUAAUUCACUCUACUUAAACUGUUUAUAUAUAAGCAUGGUUGAAAAUUUAUCAUUUUCCUCCUCAGGCUCCACAUAUAAAUUUCAACUUGAGCUUAAUUAGCAUGCAGAAAAAGGAAAGCUCAGAGGGAAACCUUCUCUGGAGAGCUCUUUAUCAGCAAAUUCAAUGAAAUCUUGAGCACCAAUAACAAAACAAAGUUCAUAUAACAAAAAGUGAAACUCCUAAAAAUAUUAGGUACUGAUAGAAGGAUAAAUGUUCUAAUAGAUAAGCUAAGUUUUAAGUUGUGUGUACUGCUGCCUCAUGGUCAGCUUGGCAUCAGUCAGACAGAGCUGUUUUCCAGAGGGUCAGCAUGAACUGGAGUAUGAACCAGGUGUUCUUGGAACACAUUCCUGUGCAUAUGCACAUGCUGUGGAUGAAUGGGACCAGUCAACACAGGUCAGCCAGUGACAAAUAAUGCCUGACCAACUGGAUUUAUGGACAAUGGCAGAGCAGUGGAUGUGAUUUACCUCAGCAAGCCUUUUGACAGCCUGGAUAGGUGGGCAACCAGGCAGGUAAAAAACUGCUUGGAAGGCUGGGCUCAAAGAACAGUGGUUGAAGUGUCUAGGGCCAGCAAUGAGGAGAGUAUUGCAUGGGUCUAUCUGGAGGCUUGUCCUGUUUAACACCUUUGUCAGUGACCUGGAGGAGGUGACAUAGUCCACUCUCAUCAGGCUUGCAGAUGACAGCAAACUAGGAGAUGCAGACAGUAAGCUCCAGGGCAGAGCUACCAUUUUGAGGAAUCCAGACAGGCCAGAUAAACAGGCUGCCAGGAAAAGGACCUCUGCUGAAAAGGAUUUGUGGGCACCAGUAGAGAUGGGGUUAAACAGGAUUUGGAAUUGCAAUGAAGGCUAAAAGCUUACUGUACAGUAUCCACAAGAAAAUACACAGUAGAUAAAAGAAGUGAUUGUUUUCCUUUACUCAACACUGUACUAAAUCAAGUUCUGAGCCUCCAGUAAAAGAAAGUGUUGAUCAAGGCUGUGGAACUGUUGGAGUCAGGCCAGAGGAGGCACAUGAAGAUGACUGGAGGGCUGGAGCUCCCCUCUGAUGAAGACAUGCUGGAAGUUGGGGUUGUUCUGCCUGGAGAAGGCUCCAGGAAGACCUUAGAGCACAUUCCAAUACCUAAAUGGGGCCUGAAAGCUGGAGAGAUUUUACAUUGAUAGGACAAAGAGGGAAGGUUUCAAACUGAAGGAGAAUCAACUUAGAUUAGAUAUAUGAACUUUUUUACAAUGAGGGUGAUAAAACACUGGCACAGGUUGCCCAGAGAAGUGACAGAUGCCCCAUUCCUGGAAAUAUUCAAGCCAUGUUGGUGGGGUUCUGAGGAACCUGGUCUGGUUGAAGAUGUCCCCGCUCAUUGCAGGCGGCUGGAUUAGAAGGCCUUUAAAUGGUACCUUCCAACCCAAACAAUUCCAUGAGAAACCUGAGCAAGUCCUGCCAAAGGUCACGAAGUUUCUCAAGGGUAUUAGAGCUCUGAGCCUGUGAGGAAAGGCUGAUAAAAGUGGGCUUUGGAGGACCACAACAGAAAACUUUCAGUUCCCAAGAGAGGGUUACCAAGAACAUGAGCCAGGCUUUUUAUGAAAGUAUGUGGUAGGAGAACAAGAGGCAACUGAAGUUGCCACAGGACAUUUAAAAAAUCACUGCUCUGAAGUAUUGAAACAGGUAUCUAAGAGAGAGUGGAAUCUAUGUUCAUGUAGAUUUUCAAGAAACAUCUGGACAACAUCCGUGCAACCUAGUCUGAAGUCAGCAUUGAUCUUGCUUUGAGUAGGAGCUGGACUAGAUGAUCCCUGGAGGUCCCUUCCAACCUGAAUGACUCUGCAAGUAACAUCACUUUAUAAACCAUUAUAAAAUGGUUUUUGAAAUGGCUUUAACAUCUGAUACAUGCCUAUCCCAGGGCUUCCUGCACCACACAAUGCACAAGGAGUGCUGGCAAAUGUCUGCAGCAUGAACGAAUGUUUGAGCUGCUUCACCCACAGUUUAUCUGUUUAGUUAGCAGCAUUUGUUUCAAGAAAAUUUAGAACAGUAUCCCCACUCCCUCCAUAUGCCUCCCUCAGUACAAACAUAUUGAUAUGGGUAUCAAGAUGCCCAAGGUCCUAUAGACAGAGGCUUUUAAUCAGGCUGGAAGUCCUUGGAAAGUUUACAUGACACAGAUGGUGUGAACCCUGGCCUGGGUAUCAUAUCUGUAGUGGCAUUGUCCUUACCAUGUCUGCUCCAUAAAAGCCACCACUGGCAUAAAGGCUGCCAGUUUAAAGGGUGCCAGUUGUAGAAUAGCAUCAAGUAUCUGAUCACGAUAGUCAACAAUGGGGCAUAUACUUAAUUCCAUUAAUCUAGACUAAAAAUUCAUGUCAAUCAUGAGUAUACUUGCUGACAAACUCUUGAGAGCAGCAAUAAUCCAGCGGGGCCAAACCAAAUCACUGCCUGGAAUGCAGCGUCUGAUGUAAUACUUGGCUUCAAGUUGCUCCCAUGACAUACAGAUACAGUCACCCACACUACACAGCUACUUUUGUUGAGCAGUUUUGUGAAAUCUGUCAAAAAAUUCAAUGCUAUUCACACCAGUAUCAAAAGAAGGCAUUACAUCACAGUAAGCACACUGGAUCUCUGAAACCCAGUGAGAUCUUUAGGACCACAAAAACAAAUACAGUUUUAAAACAUAGAAUGAUGUUUAUAAAUAUUUGAUAGGAAUGUCAAGGUCUCUGAAGUUGACCAGAGCUCAUCAAGGACAAAAGUUUCAAAAUCACUUUGGUCAGCUACAUACUUUUAUGGCAGUGCUGCUGCUCUAUGAACAUUCUCAGCAUGAUAAUACAAUUCUGCUGCCUGGGCAUGCUCAGAUACCACAACUAGCACAUGUGCCAUCCUUUGGGAAUCUCUGAGUUAAUACAGCAUCUAGUCUGGCAUCCAUCCACUUUCGCAGAACAACUCAUGUAACCCAAUUUCCCAUCCUCUUUGUUAACUGUCCUACAGCUGUGGGUAGAAAAAUUCCCCAGGGGCAUACAGCCUGUUUCUUUUCUCUCUCUUUCCUGACACUCACAUAAAAUACACCCUGGUUUCACGACAGAAGGCUCUGAAACAAGAGGAAAAUGCCUCCAUUUUUUGCUGACUAAUAAGCAUGCCUCUGAUCAGAUGUGGCCAUCUUCCGAUAACAUGGUGAUGCAGUCAUGAGCUGUGCUCCCACACUACCAGAAUUUCACCGGUGCCCACAGAUUUCCUGUUCGUGGGCACCAUGGUCAGAUCAGAUCAGAGCACAUGCACCACAACACACAGUCUGAGGGUGCUGCACUGAAGAAAAGAUUACAUCAUGUGCAGCCUUGAAACACCCAGUGCUGUCUUCAAACAGGACAAGAACCUCACAGCAGUCAGUAAAAAGAAAAAUGGUCCAUACUUGAAAAUCCCUAAUUGAACUUAAUAAGUGGAAAAUAGACUUGAGAGCUGGAAACAAGUUUUAAUAUCCCACGUCAGUUAUGAAUUCUUGUGUAUUAUAUUUUGUAUUCAUUAAUUAUAACCUCAAACUGUUUUAAAUGCACAAAACUCACAGCCCAACCAUCAACCCUGACUUCUACAACCUACAAUAAGGAUAUGAUAUAUGAAAAGAACCACCCUAUUAUCUUGGUUUUACCAUCUUUGCAUUUCAGUGAACCUCCCCUUCUUUCUUUUAAGAACCUUGGGAGACUACUAAAUUAAAAGAUAGGAUGGCAUGCAUAAUAAUAUGGCAUAUUUUCAAUUUUAAGUAUUUCAUAUAUUUGUUCCAGUUAGGUAUCCAUGGAAUUAUGAUAAUGUAAAUAGAUGAACUUAAGGUGAAUUAGCAGAUGUUAUUUUGAAACAAGGGUACACAAACAGAUCUACAGCUUCAUUUAAUCUGAGUGCAGAGAACAAAAAGCGGACAAAGUCACUUCACUAUUUUAACCUACACAAAUGCUGAAGAUUAGUCUUUUUCUCUCUCUUUAGACUCCUUCGCAUAAGUCCACGCUCAAACUACUUUAUUUCUUUCCACAUCUGCUACAUCCUCUCAUUCAUCAAAGGCUCAUCAGUCUCAUCUAAUACAUUUUAAGUUGGGUAGCUCAGGAUGCUUUAACAAACAGGAAUUUGUCUGAGCUUGGCUGGAUUCCCUCAACUGCACCCAUAUCCACCAGUUGUGGAUGACUGGUACUAGCCAACUGUAAAGCACUGUUCCUGAACAAGUAGCAAUUGUUAAAAUAAAAAAAAAAUUAGAGUUUAGGCUAUGUAUU